GUCGAACGGUAACAGGUCUUCGGACGCUGACGAGUGGCGAACGGGUGAGUAAUACAUCGGAACGUGCCCAGUCGUGGGGGAUAACUACUCGAAAGAGUAGCUAAUACCGCAUACGAUCUGAGGAUGAAAGCGGGGGACCUUCGGGCCUCGCGCGAUUGGAGCGGCCGAUGGCAGAUUAGGUAGUUGGUGGGAUAAAAGCUUACCAAGCCGACGAUCUGUAGCUGGUCUGAGAGGACGACCAGCCACACUGGGACUGAGACACGGCCCAGACUCCUACGGGAGGCAGCAGUGGGGAAUUUUGGACAAUGGGCGAAAGCCUGAUCCAGCAAUGCCGCGUGCAGGAUGAAGGCCUUCGGGUUGUAAACUGCUUUUGUACGGAACGAAAAAGCUUCUCCUAAUACGAGAGGCCCAUGACGGUACCGUAAGAAUAAGCACCGGCUAACUACGUGCCAGCAGCCGCGGUAAUACGUAGGGUGCGAGCGUUAAUCGGAAUUACUGGGCGUAAAGCGUGCGCAGGCGGUUAUGUAAGACAGAUGUGAAAUCCCCGGGCUCAACCUGGGAACUGCAUUUGUGACUGCAUGGCUAGAGUACGGUAGAGGGGGAUGGAAUUCCGCGUGUAGCAGUGAAAUGCGUAGAUAUGCGGAGGAACACCGAUGGCGAA
rnacentral:rRNA from 1 species